CAGCAGCCACGGUAAUACGUAGGUGGCAAGCGUUGUCCGGAAUUAUUGGGCGUAAAGGGCUCGCAGGCGGUUUCUUAAGUCUGAUGUGAAAGCCCCCGGCUCAACCGGGGAGGGUCAUUGGAAACUGGGAAACUUGAGUGCGGGAGAGGAGAGUGGGAUUCCACGUGUAGCGGUGAAAUGCGUAGAGAUGUGGAGGAACACCAGUGGCGAAGGCGACUCUCUGGUCUGUAACUGAUGCUGAGGAGCGAAAGCGUGGGGAGCGAACAGGAUUAGAUACCCCCGUAGUCCCUGUCUCUUAUAC
rnacentral:rRNA from 1 species